AACGCGAAGAACCUUACCUGGCCUUGACAUCUGUCGAAUCCUGCAGAGAUGUGGGAGUGCCUUCGGGAACGACAAGACAGGUGCUGCAUGGCUGUCGUCAGCUCGUGUCGUGAGAUGUUGGGUUAAGUCCCGCAACGAGCGCAACCCUUGUCCUUAGUUGCCAUCAUUAAGUUGGGAACUCUAAGGGGACCGCCGGUGACAAACCGGAGGAAGGUGGGGAUCGACGUCAAGUCAUCAUGGCCUUUAUGGCCAGGGCUACACACGUGCUACAAUGGCAGGUACAGAGGGAAGCCAACUCGCGAGAGGGAGCUAAUCCCAGAAAUCCUGUCGUAGUCCGGAUACGGAGUCUGCAACUCGACUCCGUGAAGUCGGAAUCGCUAGUAAUCGCAGAUCAGCAUUGCUGCGGAGAAUACGUUCCCGGGUCUAGUUACACACG
rnacentral:rRNA from 1 species